UACGGAGGGUCCAAGCGUUAUCCGGAUUUAUUGGGUUUAAAGGGUGCGUAGGCGGUUCAGUAAGUUAGAGGUGAAAUCCCGUGGCUCAACCAUGGACCUGCCUCUGAUACUGCUGGGCUAGAGAUUGGUUGCUGUGGGCGGAAUGUGUGGUGUAGCGGUGAAAUGCUUAGAGAUCACACAGAACACCGAUUGCGAAGGCAGCUCACAAAGCCACAUCUGACGCUGAGGCACGAAAGCGUGGGGAGCAAACAGGA
rnacentral:rRNA from 1 species